rnacentral:snRNA from 1 species
GCCCACGCAUUGAGCGCAGAGCGAACUAUUCUUUCGCCUUUUACUAAAGAUUUACCGUGUGCGCGGCGCUUUAAGUGGCAUACGUCUAUUUUUGGAAGGGUGCACCUCUGCAGGUGCC